rnacentral:rRNA from 1 species
CCUACGGGAGGCAGCAGUGAGGAAUAUUGGUCAAUGGGCGCGAGCCUGAACCAGCCAAGUCGCGUGAGGGAUGACGGUCCUACGGGUUGUAAACCUCUUUUUUAAAGGAAUAAAGUCGGGAGCGUGUCCCUUUUUGUAUGUACGUUAUGAAUCCGGAUCGGCUAACUCCGUGCCAGCAGCCGCGGGAAUACGGAGGAUCCGAGCGUUAUCCGGUUUUAUUGGGUUUAAAGGGAGCGGAGCUGGGUUGUUAAGUCAGUUGUGAAAGUUUGCGGCUCAACCGUAAUAGUGCAAUUGAUACUGGCAGUCUUGAGUACAGUAGAGGGAGGCGGAAUUCGAGGUGUAGCGGUGAAAUGCUUAGAUAUCACGAAGAACUCCGAUUGCGAAGGCAGCUUACUAAUCUGCCACUGACGCUGAGGCUCGAAAGCGUGGGUAUCAAACAGGAUUAGAUACCCGAGUAGUC